AAGCAGUGGUCCCAGCCUUGGCUGCACUUUGGAAUUGCCUGGGAGCUUAAAAAUUACUGUUGCCUGGAUCAAUUACUGGUGCCAGAGAUUCUGAUUUAAUUGAUCUGGGGUGUGCCUGGGCAUCACAAUUUCUAAAAGCUCUUCAGGCAAUUUUAAUGCAUAACUUACGUUGAAAACCAUUAUUAAUGGGUGGGUUACAAUUGCAAUGAAAACCAGGUGUGUGUAGGAGGUUGCUGUGCUGAGCAGUGUGACAAUGUGGAGGGUAAGAAUAUAAUUGGGAUAAUGUUGCCUUAGUAACGAGAGAAUUUUCAGGAAGCCAGAAUUACCCAGGUAAAUUUGAGAAAAAAUUUCUUCAUGCUCCACUCCCUGUCCUAGUCUGAUUUGUGCCUAGUAGCUAGAUAAGAGCUGGAAUAUUAGCUAUGUGUUAUCUCCUUUGCGUCUUUGUCCAGAGAUCUCAACUGUGUUUUGCUAAAGAAGAACCAUUCUAGAGAGCCUUUCCUGUAGUUAACUUUUCUACUCCGUACCUUAUCUGUUCAAGGAGUCCUUUCUCUGAGUCCCUCUGGAGAGUCUCCUUUGUGCCCAGGAAUACCUCUUGUGUGUAGGAGGUAUCCUCCCCUAGCCCAGCCCGGCAUAGCUCUGUAGAGCAGUCCCACAAAGUUGGCUGUCAUCGGAGCUGGCUGAGGUGGUAUGAGUGGGGGCAUAGGCAAAGGUCCUGCAGUGGUGGGAAAGAGUGUUAGUAAAAUUUUCCUAAAGGAGAUGUAACUGGCCUCGGGAGGGCAGGUCUCCUUAGAUAAAGCUAUGAAUAUGGGUGCUGGGUCUUUGAGCAAAGGUUUUACAGUGGGUGUGGUCCUAUUUUCCAGAGAGGAAUUAAUAUCAAACAUUUCCAGGAGAGGAAUUAUGCCAAAUAUUAAUAUUGAGCUCUUUUGUGCUAGGAGCUGUGCAAAAUACUUUGAAUUCAUUAUAUUAAUCCAUUUGGUAUCCUCUUGAAGUAGUUACUACUAUUAUCUCAUUUUACAAGCAAAGAAACAGGUUCAGAGAGGUUGAAUAAUUACUCCAAAGCAUAUAGAGUGAGUUUAUAGAGGAUCUAGGAUUCAGGUAAAAGUCUGCUUGACUGAACCUUUAACCAACACGUUCCUUUGGCUCACUUUAGUGUGUGGUGGGAGGAGUGUCUGCCAGAUGGAAAGUACCAAGUGGUUUAGUGAAAAGGAAAUGGGCAGGAUAAGAGAGGAGCCACGAUGGGCCGAAUCAGAAACCCCAAGUUUCUUAUUAAGACAAGUGAAACCAAAUUCCUUCCUUUAGCACAUUUUGAUUAUGGUUGACAAAAAGAGGUCACCUGGUGUAGUAUAGCUGCACCUCUGUUCUCUCCAGGAAAGAAUUCUGAGUGAGGCAGGUGGAGAUAGAGCAAGAGAGAGACAUACACAAGGACAAGAGACAUAGAUAUGGGAUAAAACUGACAAAUGGUGCAAGGAGACAGAGAUGCAGUGGUACAGAGACAAUGAGAGUGACUGAUAGAGAAUGGUGUACAUCCAGAUCCCGAGGGGAUUCCAGAAUGAGAAGGGGAGGGAUGAGGUAGGUGCAGGGAUGGUGGACUGUGGUGACUUUACCACUAUGCAGUCUAUGCAUAUAGCAGAAUUGCACUUGUACCCUUCAAAUUUAUACAAAAAAAAAAAAAAGGACGAGGAGGAUCUCUUUAGGACUUUUGGGAGAGGGGCUCACAGGGGAAAUUGUGACUGAAAACUUCUGACUGAUUACUUCUCAGUUAGAAGCCCAUACAUUCUUCUGCUGCCUGAUUAUCAUGAUUCCCUAGGAUCCCUAAAUUCCCUACUGAUCUACCCCAACACUAAGUAAGUCGGUCUUUCCUUUUGACUCAGAGAGAGACUGAAACUAAAAGUUACUGAAGGAAAAUGGAUGACUACUUGGUCCUGGAUGGAGAUCAUGAGCCUAAGGGCUGCGCUCUUUGGGCCAUAUCCUGCUUAUAGGAUUUGCCUCUGGUAUGGCAUGAGAGACAGACCAUCUGCAGGGUAUCUGAGGGUGGUCUGAAUGGAGAGCAUGGGGGGAAUAAACAGAUGGAUCUUUUUAUCCAGAGAACACGAGGUUCUCAGUAUGAACCUGUAGGGCAGUAUAGAAUAGUAUUGACAGCAAAGACUUUAGAGUGAUAAAGAGCCCUAACAAGUCUCUUCAUGUCUCUCAGACUUCAAGGAUAAUCACACAGACCCCUCACACCUUAUUUGAAACUUUUAGGGACAGAUAUUUUGGAAUUCAGUUUUUUUCAGAUUAUAGAAAAGGAAUAUGAUAUAUAUAUAUCAUAUAUUAAGGAAUACCCCAGUGGGAUUCAGGACAGUGCCCUAUAAUCAAACAUCAACAUUUCUGAAGUUAGAUGUAUGAACAUUUACACUAAAUAAGAUAAAUAAAGAUUAUAAAUAGGAUCAUGAUGGUUGAGAUGUCAGCUUUUGGGCCAAAGUUAUAAAAAAAUAUUGUUUCUUCAGAGUUUUAUUUUGGAAUUAUGGAUGAGGGAUUGUGGGCUUAUAAUUAAUUCUCAGGUUGUCAUGAGGAAUGAGAGUGUGGUAAAGCUCUUGAAACACAUCAUAUGGUAGGUAUGUAUGCAAUCUCAAUUUGGAACAAGAUACAAAUGUCCAAGGGAGUGGAUUUUUAGCUUGAAGGAAGAAAGUUGCUACAAUGGACAACGUACAGCUCUGGAACCAGCUACCUUGAAAAGUUGUGCACAACCAGGGGUUGAAGGUGCCUUAGAAGAGAGUCUUCCUGUGGUGGGAGGGUGACAGAAUUCAUUGUUUAUGAACGUUGGCUGCAGAUGAUUUCCCUUUCAUGUAUCAGAGGGGAAAGGCAAAAAAUGGUAUACCUGUAUGUAUGUGAGACGCAGGAUUAUCAUACAUAUAUUUAUUUAUAAUCAAUAAAUAUUUUACUGCAUA
rnacentral:lncRNA from 1 species